AUGGCAGAAAAUCAGAUGCUACAUCCCAAAAAGGAGCUCGGCCUCGACUCCAGCCCGGCUCAGGGCAUGGGCGUCUCACAGUGCCGUCACCCCGCUGCUGGUGGAAGGCGGUCCCGGUGCUGCGGGACAGGACCCCGUCCCGGGAGGGGCAAGGAAGGUGUCCGAUGGCGAAGCCUCCCCGAUGGCAUCGAUGUUGCGGUGCGGCGAGGGGGGGUGCCGGUGUGCGGGGCUACGAUCCGGACCCCUCGGGGUGCUGCUGGGGCGGGGGGCUCAGCUGGCUCUCCAGCAGCGCCUGAGCCCCCUCAGCCGACACCCGCCGCAGCCGCAGCCGCACGGAGCCGUAGGUGCUCCCGGCCCGGCGGGCGGCACGGGCCCGGCGGCGGGCGGCGGCGGCGGCCAGCAGGAGAGCGGCGAGCAGCAGCCCCCCCAGGGCCAGCAGAGCCAGCCCGGCCACCGUGCAGCGGUCGAGUCGGGCUCGGAGCCGCGCCGCCCUCUCUUCCAGCCGCUCCAUCUGCCGUGCCGGUACGGUCGGGUCGGGACGCGCCGCCCGCGGCACAGCCCCCGCCAGCACCACCAGCGCUGCCCCGCUCAGCGCGCAGCCCAGCGCCAGCGCCAGCCCCGGGCCCGGAGCCGGACCGAGCCCCCCCGGGCCGCCCCCGUCCGCCGCCGCCGCCGCUUCUCCCGGGCUCCGCAGCUCCGCCGCCCGCGGGGACGCCAUGGAGCCGCCGCCCUGCGAGGAGAGAGGUGAGCGGAGGGGCGGGCUGCAUCCCCCGUACCGCCUGCCCCGGCCGGGAUGAGCCCCCACCCUUCACCCCCAAACCCGGCCUCCGGAGCGAGCCGAUCCCGCCCGAGCCCCCGAGCCCCCAAGGACCCGCGUCCCCGAACCGGGCUGAUCCCUCCCUCGCCCCAUCGGCCCGAACCUCCCCAGCCCCCGGGACCCACCUCCCGAACCGGGCUUCAUCCCACCGCCUUGUCCCCUCCUCCCUCCCCAUCCCGGGAGCCCGUGACACCCCCGGGCCGUCUAUCCCCUAUUCGGGCUGUGCACCCCGCUCCACGUCCCGGACCUGCCGUCCCCUCCGCUCCCCCGGUUCCCUCCCCGCACCGAGCCGCCUCUCCCCCAGCUCCCCGCACCGAGCUGCGCUCCCUCUUCCUCGGUCCCAGCCGCCUCCCCGGUCCCGCCCCGCCGCUGCCCGCACCGAGCUGCCCCCCCCGGCCUCCUACCCCCGCCGGGUCCCCGGUGCCGGUGCAGCAACGGCGGAGGGAGGGGAUGGCGGUGGGACCCCGCGGUGCAACCGGCGUUGCACGCACACACGUGCAAACGUAGCGGCGGCUGCCCCAGGGGUACACACGUGCACACACGUGUGCACACACACACACACACGCACGGUUGCACACCGGCACCGCCCGUGCAAUGCAUCACCUGCAGCGGAGGGAUCGUGGGGUGGGGGGUUUGCAGAAGGAGGGGGUGAAGCAGCACUGCAACACGGAUUGUGCCCUAUAGGGUGCCGGCCAUGCAGCCCCCAGCCCCAAUGGGGCCACAGAACAGCACCAGGCUGCAGCCUCCCAGCACACGGAGCUGUUAUUUAUUCCCUUUUCCCACCGCCACCGUCUGCACAUGACCUGAAACUGGACCCAGGCCCGAGCCCCAGCAGUGACCUGCUGGCAGGAGCGAGCCUUGAGCCUUGUCAUUAA
rnacentral:lncRNA from 1 species